AGGGCCGAGCCUCGGAAAAUUCCGCUCGUUGGUCGGCCAAGGCUGGCGCAAGCCGAGGCGACCGGUCGGGGCUUCAGGCUAGUCUGCUCCCGGGAUGAUCAUCGGGUCAGCCUGGCAUCCGAGGGCCGAGCCUCGAGAAAUUCCGCUCGCUGGUCGUGCGCCUGUCGCUUGCCGCCCAACGGGAUUUCUCCGUGGCCAGCUGCGAUCGUGUUUCUCCUCCUCUCCAAGCGUCGCCUGGGGAACACCAGAUGGGCAUUAAAUGCUAAUUGAGGGGUUACCUGGAAAAUCGGAUCGCCAGUUGCUGCUUGCGAGGAGUAUCAGUUAAGCGGCCGCGAUACGCACGUUCUUCGAGGCGGAUGCGGCCUGGGCGCGAGCGGAGAUAUGUGGACCUAGGGGUACAGGCCACCCGGAGUGUCCUGCACAAAGAAUGCGAUUAAGGAGAAUAACGCUUAGGAAAUCGCGGAAAGAUACGCCUCGAGAGCCGGAUCGGCUCCGGAUUC
rnacentral:lncRNA from 1 species